rnacentral:rRNA from 1 species
AUUGAACGCUGGCGGCAGGCCUAACACAUGCAAGUCGACCGAGUGGCGGACGGGUGAGUAAUGUCUGGGAAACUGCCCGAUGGAGGGGGAUAACUACUGGAAACGGUAGCUAAUACCCGUACCAUAGUCUGUGCCCAGAUGGGAUUAGCUUGUAGGUGAGGUAACGGCUCACCUAGGCGACGAUCCCUAGCUGGGCUGAGAGGAUGACCAGCAACACGGGAACUGAGACACGGUCCAGACUCCUACGGGAGGCAGCAGUGGGGAAUAUUGCACAAUGGGCGCAAGCUUGAUGCAGCCAUGCCGCGUGUGUGAAGAAGGUCUUCGGAUUGUAAAGCACUUUAAGUGGGGAGGCGUUACCAACAGAAUAAGCACCGGCUAACUUCGUGCCAGCAGCCGCGGUAAUAC